rnacentral:rRNA from 1 species
AAGUCGAACGGCAGCGCGUGAGCAUCCUGGCGGCGAGUGGCGAACGGGUGAGUAAUACAUCGGAACGUGUCCUGUAGUGGGGGAUAGCCCGGCGAAAGCCGGAUUAAUACCGCAUACGAUCUACGGAUGAAAGCGGGGGAUCGCAAGACCUCGCGCUAUAGGGGCGGCCGAUGGCGGAUUAGCUAGUUGGUGGGGUAAAGGCCCACCAAGGCGACGAUCCGUAGCUGGUCUGAGAGGACGACCAGCCACACUGGGACUGAGACACGGCCCAGACUCCUACGGGAGGCAGCAGUGGGGAAUUUUGGACAAUGGGCGCAAGCCUGAUCCAGCAAUGCCGCGUGUGUGAAGAAGGCCUUCGGGUUGUAAAGCACUUUUGUCCGGAAAGAAAUCCUCUGGGUUAAUACCCCGGGGGGAUGACGGUACCGGAAGAAUAAGCACCGGCUAACUACGUGCCAGCAGCCGCGGUAAUACGU